rnacentral:rRNA from 1 species
CCUUUGUACACACCGCCCGUCGCUACUACCGAUUGAAUGGCUUAGUGAGGCCUCUGGAUCGGCUCCGGUUGGCUGGCAACGGCCCUCCGCUGUCGAGAAGUUGGUCAAACUUGGUCAUUUAGAGG